UACGUAGGGUGCGAGCGUUAAUCGGAAUUACUGGGCGUAAAGCGUGCGCAGGCGGUUUUGUAAGCCAGAUGUGAAAUCCCCGGGCUUAACCUGGGAAUGGCAUUUGGGACUGCAAGGCUUGAGUGCGGCAGAGGAGACUGGAAUUCCUGGUGUAGCAGUGAAAUGCGUAGAUAUCAGGAGGAACACCGAUGGCGAAGGCAGGUCUCUGGGCUGACACUGACGCUGAGGCGCGAAAGCUAGGGGAGCAAAGCAGG
rnacentral:rRNA from 1 species